GAGUUUGAUCCUGGCUCAGAACGAACGCUGGCGGCAUGCCUAACACAUGCAAGUCGAACGAGACCCCUAACUUCGGUUGGCGGGUCUAGUGGCGCACGGGUGCGUAACGCGUGGGAAUCUACCCUUGGGUUCGGAAUAACAGCGAGAAAUUGCUGCUAAUACCGGAUGAUGACGUAAGUCCAAAGAUUUAUCGCCCAAGGAUGAGCCCGCGUAGGAUUAGCUAGUUGGCGAGGUAAAGGCUCACCAAGGCGACGAUCCUUAGCUGGUCUGAGAGGAUGAUCAGCCACACUGGGACUGAGACAC
rnacentral:rRNA from 1 species